AAGGAAGUCUUCGGGUGGAAUUUAAAGUAGUUAGUGGCGGACGGGUGAGUAACGCGUGGGAAACCUGCCCUAUACAGGGGGAUAGCCUCGGGAAACCGGGAUUAAUACCCCAUAAAACUCUAGUAUCGCAUGAUACAUGAGUCAAAGAUUUAUCGGUAUAGGAUGGUCCCGCGUCUGAUUAGCUAGUUGGUGAGGUAACGGCUCACCAAGGCGACGAUCAGUAGCCGGCCUGAGAGGGUGAACGGCCACACUGGAACUGAGACACGGUCCAGACU
rnacentral:rRNA from 1 species